rnacentral:rRNA from 1 species
GCUUGCUCUCGGGUGACGAGUGGCGGACGGGUGAGUAAUGUCUGGGAAACUGCCUGAUGGAGGGGGAUAACUACUGGAAACGGUAGCUAAUACCGCAUAACGUCGCAAGACCAAAGAGGGGGACCUUCGGGCCUCUUGCCAUCAGAUGUGCCCAGAUGGGAUUAGCUAGUAGGUGGGGUAACGGCUCACCUAGGCGACGAUCCCUAGCUGGUCUGAGAGGAUGACCAGCCACACUGGAACUGAGACACGGUCCAGACUCCUACGGGAGGCAGCAGUGGGGAAUAUUGCACAAUGGGCGCAAGCCUGAUGCAGCCAUGCCGCGUGUAUGAAGAAGGCCUUCGGGUUGUAAAGUACUUUCAGCGGGGAGGAAGGUGUUGUGGUUAAUAACCACAGCAAUUGACGUUACCCGCAGAAGAAGCACCGGCUAACUCCGUGCCAGCAGCCGCGGUAAUACAGAGGGUGCAAGCGUUAAUCGGAAUUACUGGGCGUAAAGCGCACGCAGGCGGUCUGUCAAGUCGGAUGUGAAAUCCCCGGGCUCAACCUGGGAACUGCAUUCGAAACUGGCAGGCUAGAGUCUUGUAGAGGGGGGUAGAAUUCCAGGUGUAGCGGUGAAAUGCGUAGAGAUCUGGAGGAAUACCGGUGGCGAAGGCGGCCCCCUGGACAAAGACUGACGCUCAGGUGCGAAAGCGUGGGGAGCAAACAGGAUUAGAUACCCUGGUAGUCCACGCCGUAAACGAUGUCGACUUGGAGGUUGUGCCCUUGAGGCGUGGCUUYCGGAGCUAACGCGUUAAGUCGACCGCCUGGGGAGUACGGCCGCAAGGUUAAAACUCAAAUGAAUUGACGGGGGCCCGCACAAGCGGUGGAGCAUGUGGUUUAAUUCGAUGCAACGCGAAGAACCUUACCUACUCUUGACAUCCAGAGAACUUUCCAGAGAUGGAUGGGUGCUUUCGGGAACUCUGAGACAGGUGCUGCAUGGCUGUCGUCAGCUCGUGUUGUGAAAUGUUGGGUUAAGUCCCGCAACGAGCGCAACCCUUAUCCUUUGUUGCCAGCGGUCCGGCCGGGAACUCAAAGGAGACUGCCAGUGAUAAACUGGAGGAAGGUGGGGAUGACGUCAAGUCAUCAUGGCCCUUACGAGUAGGGCUACACACGUGCUACAAUGGCGCAUACAAAGAGAAGCGAACUCGCGAGAGCAAGCGGACCUCAUAAAGUGCGUCGUAGUCCGGAUUGGAGUCUGCAACUCGACUCCAUGAAGUCGGAAUCGCUAGUAAUCGUAGAUCAGAAUGCUACGGUGAAUACGUUCCCGGGCCUUGUACACACCGCCCGUCACACCAUGGGAGUGGGUUGCAAAAGAAGUAGGUAGCUUAACCUUCGGG